CAAAUGGACUUCUUUAAGUCCAUAAAGAAAAUUAAACAGAGGUAAG
rfam:Xenopus tropicalis strain Nigerian Chr02_contig_1575, whole genome shotgun sequence.